CAACCAAAACCACCAGGACAGAGUAGAGGCACGCUGAUGAGGGGUGGUGAUGAGCAUCCAACAGUUAUCUAACAGGAGAGAUGUGAUACUGGAGGAUGGGACACAAAGGAGGACAGGAAAAAAAUGAAACAAGAAGAAUGCAAAGGAUUAUGUAGAGGGGGCAUCAAGACUCCUGGGGGACUUAAAAAAUGGUAAUUCACUGAGAAGAGUGGUGAUGAAGAGAAAUUAUUCUGAGAUGAGGUUUCUGGAACACCAGGAAGUUGAGAGGAGAGAGGAGAUGGGGCAAAGAGAAACCUAGAGGAGGGAAGGACAACCCGAGAAAAGGAAAUGGGAGGUGGGACAAGACAAGAGAGACUGUGGAGGUCUCCUGGAGGGGAGGAGGGAUAAACAACAACAGCAGCAGCGCUGACUAAUCCUGACACUGGGGCUCCGAGGGCUGACUCAACAAUCAUCCAACUGCAUUCAUCUGACAUUAAAAACAAAUUUCUCCCACAAGAAAAGUAGAAAAUUGACCAUAAUUUUAUUAGCAAACAAGCAAUUUCUAGUUUUCCUGUAUUUGUUGUCUACAGUUGUUAGAUUUUGCAUCACCAUUUAAGCUCAGUAGACACGAACUGUUGAUAAUUCACACUGCCAUGCAUCACCCCUUACUCAUCCCAGCGUUGUUGUUUGAAGCCAGAGAAGCACUGGAGGACGUUUCCUCUGCAUUCACUGCUUUCCCUUCAGAUCGGAUCCCAUCUACACAUCCAGCGUUACGUAUGAGUUUCCAGUCUAACACAAAGCAGAACUAGCAGACUGUUUCGGCUAACAAACACCUGACCCAUAAACUUGGUAACAACUCUCAGGUGUGGAACACUAUAAAACCAUUUUUAAUGAUUAUUUCUGAUUAGAAAGGGUCACUCCGAGUUGUUCAUGCAGGUUGAACAUGAAAAUAGUCUCCUACACCUAUCUCCUGCAUUAGCUUCUGAUGGACGGCGAAAAGCCCGACAGAGCUAUAUUGCUCGGACUCACCCGUACUGGCUCGCGACGGGGAAGGCUGUUGCUGUUUUAUCGUUCAGAAUCAGCAGAGAACAUCUCGGCCAACAAAAGCUAACCGUUAGUAUUAGCAGCUCAACCGCAUGGCAGGAGCUCCUUCAGGCUUGUGUCGUUUGUGGAGAUAAUACAUCCAUGUCGCAGAGCAAGCAGUGAGCGGUAGAGUUGUGUUGCUGUUAUCAAAUCUGAGGUGAGAUGUCCAAAUAUCAGGAAAUAGGACUCCAAAUCCUGCUGUGUUAAGCUCUCCUCUGAUGCAGCAGACUUGUGUGUGCUGAAGCACCCGUUUCUGUUUCCUACCAGAGACCACUGCAAACGUGUUGAUUAAAUGAGUUUCCCACACCUUUAAAUAUUAGAGACAGAAGCACUGAGUGGCUGGUGGGUCCACAGCAAGAGGAAACAUUAGGGUUUUUUUCUUGACAUUUACUGAUUUAUUUGAAUAAAAUGCAACCUGCUGGGUUCCUUACAUAACAAACACUGUACCGAUCGGCUUAAUGAACUGAACUGUACUGGAAUAAUUACUGAGUGACGUGCCUUGAGACGACUUGUCAUGAUUUGGCGCUAUAUAAAUAAACUGAAUUGAACUAAA